UCCUGAAUUACGGGAAGGUCGACUAGUC
rnacentral:sRNA from 1 species